GAUGAACGCUGGCGGCGUGCUUAACACAUGCAAGUCGAACGGAAAGGCUCCUGCUUGCAGGGGUACUCGAGUGGCGAACGGGUGAGUAACACGUGGGUGAUCUGCCCUGCACUUCGGGAUAAGCCUGGGAAACUGGGUCUAAUACCGGAUAGGACGAUGGUUUGGAUGCCAUUGUGGAAAGUUUUUUCGGUGUGGGAUGAGCUCGCGGCCUAUCAGCCUGUUGGUGGGGUAAUGGCCUACCAAGGCGUCGACGGGUAGCCGGCCUGAGAGGGUGUACGGCCACAUUGGGACUGAGAUACGGCCCAGACUCCUACGGGAGGCAGCAGUGGGGAAUAUUGCACAAUGGGCGCAAGCCUGAUGCAGCGACGCCGCGUGGGGGAUGACGGCCUUCGGGUUGUAAACUCCUUUCGCUAGGGACGAAGCGCUAGUGACGGUACCUGGAGAAGAAGCACCGGCUAACUACGUG
rnacentral:rRNA from 1 species